AUGCAAGCACACGGGCGUCCAGUCCAGGUCGAGCUACAGCUUUCCAUGGAGACAAGAGUAAGACCACCCCAAGGCACACGACAUCAAAGAGGGCCAGCUCCAGGUCGGGUCGGCGGUGGCCACCAUCAUCUUGCUUCUCCACCACUUUCCGCCUAUACCACGCCGCUCGCCGGCCACCUGCACCUGGGGACAUCAAGCAAGGUGACAAGUGAUAGAAUUAGAACGAUUCCCUUUCAAAAGAUGCAGCGUUUCUUAAAGGAAAAAUAUCAGCUAGCUCUUGUAAUGUUGCUAUGUAGAGUGUACUGCCAAGGACUCCACGUAUACUGGGCAAAAGGCCUAUCUCUUCUGAUAGCUCAUCUUCUCCUGCUCCGACGACGACAACAACGGCUACCGGUAGCGCUCAAGUCAACACCACCUGGCUUGAUGUGUGUCAACCUAGAGAUCAAGGAUUUUGUUAGCGCUGAAAACCUGCAGAAAGUUACUCUACUUCAUCAACCAAAAGUAAACCAUCUCCUAGUGAUUCUCACUUCUUGUCCAGCAUCAGGCAAGUGGCAGGAUUGCUGGUUGCUUGCUAGUGAAGAAUGCCAAGAAGGAAGGCGAAGCAAAGGACACAACAUCAGAGGAAGCCAAUGGAGACAUGAAGCAAGGUGA
rnacentral:rRNA from 1 species